rnacentral:rRNA from 1 species
CGUAGGUGAACCUGCGGAGGGAUCAUUACAGAGUUGCAAAACUCCCUAAACCAUUGUGAACGUUACCUUCAAACCGUUGCUUCGGCGGGCGGCCCGGGUCCGCCCGGUGCCCCCUGGCCCCCUAGCGGGGCGCCCGCCGGAGGAAAACCCAACUCUUGAUUAUUAUGGCCUCUCUGAGUCUUCUGUACUGAAUAAGUCAAAACUUUCAACAACGGAUCUCUUGGUUCUGGCAUCGAUGAAGAACGCAGCGAAAUGCGAUAAGUAAUGUGAAUUGCAGAAUUCAGUGAAUCAUCGAAUCUUUGAACGCACAUUGCGCCCGCCAGUAUUCUGGCGGGCAUGCCUGUUCGAGCGUCAUUUCAACCAUCAAGCCCCGCGCUUGUGUUGGGGACCUGCGGCUGCCGCAGGCCCUGAAAACCAGUGGCGGGCUCGCUGUCACACCGGGCGUAGUAGAUUUUAUCUCGCUCAGGGCGUGCUGCGGGUUCCGGCCGUUAAAAAGCCUUUUUUACCCAAGGUUGA